rnacentral:tRNA from 1 species
CCCGUGGUAGCUCAGCCUGGUAGAGCUUCCGGCUGUAGUGGUUGGCUCUGGCUAGCCUUCUCAGCCUACUAGGCUAACAUAGAUACCGGACUGUCGCAGGUUCAAAUCCUGCCCACGGGA